AAAAUAGCAUGAUUGCUUUAGUAAUUAUAAUUUAUCGGUCCAUGCACCACAUUCCUGGAAGUCCAGAAUAUAGCAAGAAUCCUUUGUCGUUUGAUUCUAUGGAGCCAUUUAACAUUUUGAUUGGUAUAGUUAUACCAAAAGAGAAAGGAGUACAUCGGUAGAUCACAUCUGCAACAGAACCAUUACAGAUUCCUUGUUAUAGCAAUGUCUCUGUGUUUAUGUAUACAGGAGUUCCUUGCUUUGCAGGUAUGUACAUAAUAUGUAGCGUUUAAGAAAAGCUGCAAAUCGUGCUUUAGUACAAGUGUCCCAUGAUGUCGGGUUUCUGAAAGAUUUUGCUGGCCUUUUAUAUUCCAUUCUCUUGGCAGGGCACCUGCUCUUAGUAGGCCGGUAUUGUUAUUAUUU